AUUGAACGCUGGCGGCAUGCCUUACACAUGCAAGUCGAACGGUAACAGGUCUUCGGAUGCUGACGAGUGGCGAACGGGUGAGUAAUACAUCGGAACGUGCCUAGUAGUGGGGGAUAACUACUCGAAAGAGUGGCUAAUACCGCAUGAGAUCUACGGAUGAAAGCAGGGGAUCGCAAGACCUUGUGCUACUAGAGCGGCCGAUGGCAGAUUAGGUAGUUGGUGGGAUAAAAGCUUACCAAGCCGACGAUCUGUAGCUGGUCUGAGAGGACGAUCGGCCGCACGGGGACGGGGACACGGCCCAGACGCCUACGGGAGGCAGCAGUGGGGAAUUUUGGACAAUGGGCGAAAGCCUGAUCCAGCAAUGCCGCGUGCAGGAUGAAGGCCUUCGGGUUGUAAACUGCUUUUGUACGGAACGAAAAGCCCCGGGUUAAUACCCUGGGGUCAUGACGGUACCGUAAGAAUAAGCACCGGCUAACUACGUGCCAGCAGCCGCCGCCG
rnacentral:rRNA from 1 species